rnacentral:rRNA from 1 species
GACGAACGCUGGCGGCGUGCUUAACACAUGCAAGUCGAACGCUGAAGCUCAGCUUUUGUUGGGUGGAUGAGUGGCGAACGGGUGAGUAACACGUGAGUAACCUGCCCCCUUCUUUGGGAUAACGCCCGGAAACGGGUGCUAAUACUGGAUAUUCACUGGUCUUCGCAUGGGGGUUGGUGGAAAGGGUUUUUCUGGUGGGGGAUGGGCUCGCGGCCUAUCAGCUUGUUGGUGGGGUGAUGGCCUACCAAGGCUUUGACGGGUAGCCGGCCUGAGAGGGUGACCGGUAACAUUGGGACUGAGAUACGGCCCAGACUCCUACGGGAGGCAGCAGUGGGGAAUAGUGCACAAUGGGCGCAAGCCUGAUGCAGCGACGCCGCGUGAGGGAUGGAGGCCUUCGGGUUGUGAACCUCUUUCGCUCAUGGUCAAGCCGCAACAAUGGUUGUGGUGAGGGUAGUGGGUAAAGAAGCGCCGGCUAACUACGUG